GAUGAACGCUGGCGGCGUGCCUAAUACAUGCAAGUCGAGCGAACGGACGAGAAGCUUGCUUCUCUGAUGUUAGCGGCGGACGGGUGAGUAACACGUGGAUAACCUACCUAUAAGACUGGGAUAACUUCGGGAAACCGGAGCUAAUACCGGAUGAUAUUUUGAACCGCAUGGUUCAAAAGUGAAAGACGGUCUUGCUGUCACUUAUAGAUGGAUCCGCGCUGCAUUAGCUAGUUGGUAAGGUAACGGCUUACCAAGGCAACGAUGCAUAGCCGACCUGAGAGGGUGAUCGGCCACACUGGAACUGAGACACGGUCAAGACUCCUAAGGGAGGCAGCAGAAGGGAAUCUUCCGCAAUGGGCGAAAGCAUGACGGAGCAACGCCGCGUGAGUGAUGAAGGUCUUCGGAUCGUAAAACUCUGUUAUUAGGGAAGAACAGAUGUGUAAGUAACUGUGCACAGCUUGACGGUACCUAAUCAGAAAGCAACGGCUAACUACGUG
rnacentral:rRNA from 1 species